ensembl:lncRNA
UCGCGUCCGGGGCGGGCCCUGCCGUAGCGGUGCCACCAUGGAGCAGCCCGGGGGCCGCCCCCCCAUCCCCGCAACACAGGACGCCAUCGUCUUCUCCGACGCGGCAUCGCCUGCGGGGACCCCCGGAGCCCCCAACCCGCCGCCCGCAGAUGUCUUCUGGGCCAGCCUGGUGCAGGCCCAGAUGUGUGUGUGGGACCUGCAGGGCGCCAUCGAGGGGACGCGCGGUGGGGACGGGCGCCACAAUGGGUCCCAGUGCGGGGAUGUUGAGGGGAGCGGGGGGUCCGGGGUCUCGUUGCAGGGCGUGGGGUCCUGCGGGGUCUCGGCCCGAUCCGUCGCCACGGAUGGGAGAACCUCGCCAAAGUUCGCGGCCGCCCGUGGCACCGACCCAGCUGGAUCCAUCGCUGCGUUUGGGACGAGCUCCCAAACUGCCCGUGGGGUCGGCUCGUGUGGGGUCGGCACACCCCAGUCCAUCCCCACGUAUGGGAGAACCUCUGCAAAGGAUGCGAGCUCCUAUGGGGUCGGCUCGUGUGGGGUCAGCGCAGCCGAAUCCGUCCCUGCGUGUGGGAGAACCUCUGCAAAGGAUGCGGGCACCUGUGGGAUCUCCUCAGCUGAGCGCAUCCCCACCUAUGGGGGAACCUCGAUGGAGGACGUGGGCACCUAUGGGAUCUCACCCCGAUCCACCCCUGGGUAUGGGAACCCCCCCACAAAGGAUGCGACCGCCCGUGGGACCGCCUCACGUGGGACCACCUCAACAGAACCCACCUAUGGGAGACCCUCCUCAGAGGACGUGUGCAUGUAUGGGACCACCUAUGAAUCCAUCCCCACCUAUGGGAGAACCUCCGUGGAGGACACAGGCACCCAUGGGACCCCACCCCAAUCCAUCCCUGGGUAUGGGAACCCCUCCCCAAAGGGUGCGACCGCCCAUGGGACCGCCUCACAUGGGACCACCUCAACAGAACCCAUCCCCACCUAUGGGAGAACCUCGCUGCAGGAUGUGGACACCUAUGGGGUCUCACCCCAAUCCAUCCCCACCUAUGGGAGAGCCUCCCCAAAGGAUGCGACCACCCAUGGGACCACCUCAACAGAACCCAUCCCCACCGGUGGGACAACCUCAAUGGAAGACACAGAUGCCUAUGGGAUCUCACCCCGAUCCACCCCUGGGUAUGGGAACCCCCCCCCAAAGGAUGCGACCACCCAUGGGACCACCUCAACAGAACCCAUCCCCAUUUAUGGGAGAGCCUCCACUGAAGAUGUGUCCAUGUAUGGGACCAUCUAUGAAUCCAUCCCCACCUAUGGGAGAACCUCAGUGGAGGCCGUGGGCACCUAUGGGACCCCACCCCACUCCACCCCCACAUAUGGGAACCCCUCCCCAAAGGAUGCAGCCGCCUGUGGGAUCGCCUUAUCAGAGUCCAUCCCCACAUUUGGGGGAACCUCAGUGGGCGACACGGAUGUCUAUGGGGUCACACCUCAAUCCAUCCCCACGUAUGGGAGAAGCACCCCAAAGGAUGUGAGCACCCGUGGGACCACCUCAACUGAAUCCAUCCCCACCUGUGGGAGAACCUUGCUGGAGGACGCGGAUGUUUAUGGGGUCUCACCCCAACCCAUCCCCGCAUAUGGGAACACCUCCCCAAAGGAUCUGAGCACCCAUGGGAUCACCGCAACAGAACCCCUCCCCACCUGUGGGAAAACCUCAAAGGAGGAUGUGGGUGCUUAUGGGAUCUCACCCCAAUCCAUCCCCACCCCUGGGAGAACCUCGAUGGAGGACGUGGACACCCAUGGGAUCUCACCCCAAUCCAUGUAUGGGAGAACCACCCCAAAGGAUGUGAGCACCCAUGGGAUCACCGCAACAGAACCCAUCCCCACCUAUGGGAGAACCUCGAUGGAGGGUGUUUAUGGGAUCACCUCGCCCCAAUCCGUGCCCAUGGAUGGGAGCACCUUGAUGGAACCCCAGAGCUGGAACUCCAUGUCUGAGACCACCUCCCCGAUGUCCCCCGUGGGUGGGAGCAUCCCACCCCACCAACACAUGCCCACCCAUGGGAUCCUCUCACCCAAAUCCACACCCACCUUUGGGGCCACCUCAUCCGAUCCCACACACGUGAGUGGGACCACCAUGUGGGGACGAGUUCCUAUGGAUGAGACCACCUCCCCCAAAUCCAGGCCUAUGGAUGGGACCACCACCCCCAAAUCCAGGCCUAUGGAUGGGACCACCACCCCCAAAUCCGGGCCUAUGGAUGAGACCACCUCAUGGGGACAAGUUCCUAUAGAUGAGACCACCUCCCCCAAACCCACGCCUAUGAAUGAGACCACCACCCCCAUAUCCACACCUAUGGAUGAGACCACCACCCCCAUAUCCAUACUUACGAAUGAGACCACCUCAUGGGGACGAGUUCCUGUAGAUGAGACCACCACCCCCAAACCCACGCCUAUGGAUGGGACCACCUCCCCCAAAUUCAUACCUAUGGAUGGGACCACCACCCCCAAAUCCGUACCUAUGGAUGAGAGCACCUCAUGGGGACGAGUUCCUAGGGAUGAGACCACCUCCCCCAAACCCACACCCAUGGGUGGUCCCACCUCCCCCAAACCCACACCCAUGGGUGUUACCACCUCCCCCAAGCUCAGUCCCAGAGAUGGGGCCCCCAAAUGGAGCGAGCAAGAGGAGGAGGAAGAGGAGGAGGAGGAGGAGGAUGAAGAUGAGGAGGAGGAUGGUGAGGAAGAGGAGGACGUGGAGGAAGAGGAGCCCCACUUCCACACCAACCCUCUCUUCUGCGGGCUCUACAAACCACACCUGCAGAUCACUGAGGGGGACAUCGCGGCAGCCCCCACCAUGGGGGGCACCCAGGAGGUACAUGGGGUGGGGAGGGGGCUGGGGUCACCCCAGAACUCCCCCCUCCCCCCC